CGCGUAGGCGGGGAUACAAGUCAGGUGUGAAAUCUAUGGGCUUAACCCAUAAACUGCACUUGAAACUGUAUCUCUUGAGUGUCGGAGAGGUAGACGGAAUUCCUAGUGUAGCGGUGAAAUGCGUAGAUAUUAGGAGGAACACCAGUGGCGAAGGCGGCUUACUGGACUGAAACUGACGCUGAGGUGCGAAAGCCAGGGGAGCGAACGG
rnacentral:rRNA from 1 species